CGGAGGGUGCAAGCGUUAUCCGGAUUUAUUGGGUUUAAAGGGUGCGUAGGCGGUUUCUUAAGUCAGCGGUGAAAGUUUUCAGCUUAACUGGAAAAAUGCCGUUGAUACUGAGAGGCUUGAAUAUGGUUGCUGUGGGUGGAAUGUGUGGUGUAGCGGUGAAAUGCUUAGAUAUCACACAGAAUAUCAAUUGCGAAGGCAGCUCACAAAGCCAUUAUUGACGCUGAGGCACGAAAGUGUGGGGAUCAAACAG
rnacentral:rRNA from 1 species